ensembl:lncRNA
GAUUUUGAACUUCUGUAACUUCCCUUUAAUUGAAUUAUGGAGCUGUGCUCACAGGUCAUCUGACCGGUUUCUCCUGCACAUACAGGGAGGGGACAGAGCACGCUCUGCUGCCUUUGCACACUGGACUCAUCUAAAACACAUUUAUUCUCCGUGACCUUUGACCCAGCGUGAGGCAUUGAUCUUUUUGUAUUUUUUAAUCAUUUCCAGUGUAUUUAUUCAUUACUGUUUGCAGCCUGUAUCUGCUGUGGCUGUUGUUGGAGUGCAGCUUAGACACCGUCUGACACACACUUCUGUGUGUCUGACACAGGAGGCUGGGCCGCUUCUCUUUUACCUGUGCAAACACAGGUGUAAGAGCCAUGAUUUGUAAAGCUACGUUAUCUGAUGAUGGCACUCGUUAAUGAGUAAUCAGAGAUGUUGCAGAGGCUCUUUCAUCAAACUGCAGUCUCUCUUUUGUGCCCAACAAAAACACAUCCUCCUGUUGAUACUUGAUGCUGCCGUUUCAUGAAGUCGUGGCUUUUUAUCUUCUCCGCUGCCGGGUGGAGCACAGCUCAGCCUGUCUGGCAUGGAGAGCGUACACAACAGGGACUCGCUGCUUCCUCUCCAUGUACAGUACAGAGUGAAGGGAGACAGCGUUCCUCCGAGACCCUGGUGCUACAUAUGACAUGUAACAGACAAACACAGGACAAAGUGCCAUGUGCAAAAAAUUGCACAAAUAAACAAGACAGAACAGGACGAUACACACAAGCAGUGUUGGGCGUGGACUGCAACUGUCCCAGCUGACAGCGAGCCUCCACUCCAACCCCACAUCCACGAGGUUUGCAGAGAGGAACACGCACUCAGCGAAGGAGAUUUAAGUCUUCGUGGCCUCGUUUUUAUCUUUGUACUGCUUCCAGUUUUGUACUCUGUGUGUCACAUGUGGCAUCCUGGUCAGUAAAUGAAUAUAUGAUCAAUAAAAACAAAAUAAACUGAA